rnacentral:lncRNA from 1 species
CUGUUUUUAAGUCAAUGUUCUACCCAAGAACAAGCAUUUUCAUCUAGACCGAUUUCCUUGAGUUUGAACACUAAUCUAUUGUGUGGAACUGUAUCAAAUGCCUUGGCAAAAUCCAAAUAGCUCACAUCCACUGCAACGCUCUGAUGUAUACUUCUACUUACUUCUUCGUAGAACGCAAUCAAGUUAGCUUGACAUGACCUGUGCUUCAUAAAACCGUGCUGAUUUUUGCUGAUAACCAUGUUCU